rnacentral:lncRNA from 1 species
CUGCACGGCUUAGUGCUUGACCUUUGUUUUAAAAAACGGACUAGACAGUGUCUCUUUUCAGUUGAUUUCAGGAAGGAGUUACACUAGUCCAAGUCAAGAAGGGACCCCAAGUCACAGGAACAAUGCAUGCUGAAAUCCGAGAGCUGUGCUGAGCUAGUCCCGCCCCUCACUGGCCCUGGGAUAACUGGCCCUGCCCCUCAGUGGACUGCACAGCAGGAGAGAUGGCCUCACCCACCAUGGAAGAGCCCCCCCUCCCCAGCCCUCGGGAGAGAUGGCCCCACCCGUCAUCACAGGCUUGGGAGAGCUGGCCAGGAUAGCACUGGCUUAGGAGAGCUGUCUCUGCCCCUCGCCUGAGGGGGUGCGGUCCCAGUGGCAGAGACGACCAGCUCAGCUACCACCCAGAUCCACAUCUUGAGCUUUGGGUUGGCUCACCCUAACAUCUACCCCAUCUAUGACCUGCUGGAGUGAGGGAAGGGACUGGUCCUGUGGAACGAUAACCAUAAGAUCUCUAUCACUCAGGCAACUCAGCAGGUUAUCCAAGAGGAGUUUUGGUGAGGGUCCAGUGAUGAUGGUGUGCCAGAGGCCUUAAACCAAACCAGUGACUCGUUUUACAGGUUGGGCUGAUUGGACAAAAGGGUAUACUGCAUGACACCCUGCAGCUCCUGAUGCCACCAGGAUGAAUGAAGAGCUGUUGGAAAGACGGAGGAGGAUAGGAAGAAAGAAGGUUUUCAGAGGGAAUGGAAGGAGGAUAGCAGAGUAUAAUGGAGGGGCGAUGUAUAGAAAAGAUGAUGCAAGCCCAUCAGUGCCUGAAAGUCAGCAUCUAAUGGUAAAAGCAAUGCAAUCUUUUUCUAGCCUUCAUCCAGUGGCUGAUGGAAGCAGAGGCAGACAUCCACAGAUAUACACUGAACUGAACUCUGGAACUUAGUUGCAGAGAGGGAGGAAUGAAGAGUGAAGGGGUUGGUACCAGGCUGGAGAAACCUGCAGAAACAGCUGGCCUGAACAAGGGAGAGCACAUGGACCCCAGAUGCUGUCUGGGAGGCUAGUACAAGACUGAUCCAGACCCCUGAACAUGGAUGUCAAUGAGGAGGCCUCUGCAUUUCAGGGGGCCCUGGUAGUGGAUUAGUAUUUUUCCCUGGUGUAAGAAGGGACUUCGAGAGCCCAUCCCACAUGAAAGGAUACACUCUGGCUCUGGACACAUGGGGAAGGGCCUAGGCCCAGCCCAGGAAGAUGUAGUAGACUUUGAGGAGCCCCUGUGGCAGGCCCUAUCCUGCCUGGGGAGUGGAAGGUGGAUGAGGUGGG